rnacentral:lncRNA from 1 species
UUUUUUUUUUUUUUUGCAUGUGCAUGUAUGUACUUAUUCGAGUUGGUUUGUAUAUGUGCAUGCAGAGGUUGACUUGAAGUGUGUUCCUCAAUUGCUCUUUGAUUUAUGUUCUGAAGCCAUGUCUUGAUGAGCCUGGAGCUUGCAGGUUGGUUAAGAUCACUUGCUAAUCUGCCUCCAGAGAUCCUUUGCCUCCACUUCCCAAUCACUGGGAUUGCCCAGUUGGUUUUUAUGUAGCUACAGAAAACCCAGUUUUCCUGCUUCCAUGGCAAACAUUUCAUCUACUGAGCUAUAUCCAUAGCUCAGUUUUUUUUUUAAUAUUAUUUGGCUAUGAUUAUCUUGGUUGCUUCAAAAGUCAAAUUCAUUUUUUUUGUUUGCUGUUGUUUUUUGUUUUUAGAAACAGGGAUUCUCUGUAUAGCCCUGCUGUCCUGGAACUCAUGCUGCAGAUGAGGCUGACCCUUGAAGUGAGAGAGCUGCUUGCCCCUGCCUUCUUACUGCUGAGAUUAAAGGUCUGUGUAUCAUUUUUGAGAUAAACUCAGUGUAAACUAUAAGGCAAAGACAUGUUCGAAUUUAAUCUACAUAUAACACCCAGCAUGGAGAGAAUCAGAAACCAAGAGCAUGGUGUACUCAGUCUAACCCACAGGUUAUGGGCCAGAGCUUCAUAAUGAAAUAGUGAAAUGAGAAUGUAUGUUUUUUAUCAAGGAGUUCAUUGUCCUUUCUGGUACACUACACCACCCAGUGCCUAAUCUGUCUAAAGAGGCAGGGCUGACACAGCGACCUCCUCAUGUGGAAUCACCCGGAACCAUUUCUGUUCCAGCUCUUCUGUUUUUUGGCAAGUGCAUCUAAAAAUUGAGGAUGAAAGUCUAGGUGACUUUCUGGUGGCUGUGCAGAUGAGAAGUCGGACAGUGGCACUGCAGUUUGCUCUGAUUGACUCUGGAGCCUGUGUUUGAAGCUACAGCAAUACAACAGUCUGCUCCAGCGCUGAGCUUGUAGGAAGGCGACCACUCCAGGCCGACUCAAUGGCUUUAGCCUCCAGAGUUAUCGUCGUUUGGCAGGAAGUCUUAAAGAACCCCACAGCGUGCCCUUCCGCCCCUGGCACAUCAUAAGCUAUUUUGGGAUGAGUCAUCGGAAUUCUGUGGUUUGCAUAUCCUGAAGGGGAAGAGAAGACACUGUAUGGCUAACAUUUAUUUGAAAUAGCAAGUUGGAAAGAAAAAUUCUUCGAUAAAAGUUCAGCAUUAGAACACACAGGAAGGUAGGCUUGGUGACUUCUGCAUGUGACUGUCAUAAGCAGAUGCUUGUUGCGCUUCUCCCAAGCCACGUUGGAAGAUGCUUUCCAAAUGCCUUGCGCUGAGCACAUCACCAGAAUGGUUUCCAAGCUACAAGAUGGCUCCAGGGGACACAGGAUACUCACCUGGCUGAGUAAGGAGGGAGAAGGGAUCUGUAAGUGCUCCCCCGUCAGCUGCUACACACUCUGACAUGCAGCUAAUAAUUUAUGAACUUCUAACUUUGGAGGCUGCCUUCAGAUGAUAAGCCUCAUAAAAGCUAACAAGGGUAUAUCUUUGGUAAGUCAGCGAAGCAUUAAAAGGACAAAUAGCCA